rnacentral:rRNA from 1 species
AUUGAACGCUGGCGGCAGGCCUAACACAUGCAAGUCGAGCGGAUGAAGGGAGCUUGCUCCUGGAUUCAGCGGCGGACGGGUGAGUAAUGCCUAGGAAUCUGCCUGGUAGUGGGGGAUAACGUCCGGAAACGGGCGCUAAUACCGCAUACGUCUUGAGGGAGAAAGUGGGGGAUCUUCGGACCUCACGCUAUCAGAUGAGCCUAGGUCGGAUUAGCUAGUUGGUGGGGUAAAGGCCUACCAAGGCGACGAUCCGUAACUGGUCGGAGAGGAUGAUCAGUCACACUGGCACUGAGACACGGUCCAGACUCCUACGGGAGGCAGCAGUGGGGAAUAUUGGACAAUGGGCGAAAGCCUGAUCCAGCCAUGCCGCGUGUGUGAAGAAGGUCUUCGGAUUGUAAAGCACUUUAAGUUGGGAGGAAGGGCAGUAAGUUAAUACCUUGCUGUUUUGACGUUACCAACAGAAUAAGCACCGGCUAACUUCGUG